rnacentral:lncRNA from 1 species
UUUCAUGAAUAAAAUUUUUAAUUAAAUUGAAAAACGUCAUUAACCACAAAACUAUUUUCUUUCCUGCGUUGGUUUAUGGUACCUGAUCACAAGAGCAAAAUAUUCAUGACAAAAGAUUGUUUUUUUUUUUUCAUCAAACAAGCAACUAAUGAUACAAGAACUUUUCUCCUCGAACUUUAUAGGUAGAAAACAUGAAGUGGUACCAAACAAGAAAGAUAAGAAGACAAAAAGACUACUUGAAAUAGAUCGAGGGCCCGCCUGAGUUGGGAUCCCACGUCCCAGCCUCCCUCAUGUAUUCCAAAUACCUCAAGAACUCGGGCUUCGUCACAGCAUCCUUAGACGGCGCUUCAAGAAGUUUGAUCACAGGGUGAGCUUUUAUGUCCUUAUGGCUUGAUGUCUUCGUUUUGGUCGUGGCGGCCUUCGCUUUGCUCUUCUCGCCGAAGUUGAAGGAGAACUGCUGGGAGAGGAGUCGGCGGUACCCUCGACGGUUCUUCUGAUGGCCCGAAGCUUCAGACAUUGCUGUGGAGGAAGAAAAGGUAAGGGGAGUGGGUUGGCGUGCUUAGUCUUCUUUGGGUUGUGAAAAUGGUGAAGAAUGCAAGUACAUGUUGUUGAAGAGUUUGGAAUUUGUAGGCUUGGAUUUUGUGGAAAUGGUC